rnacentral:rRNA from 1 species
GAUGAACGCUGGCGGCGUGCCUAAUACAUGCAAGUCGAGCGAACAGACGAGGAGCUUGCUCCUUUGACGUUAGCGGCGGACGGGUGAGUAACACGUGGGUAACCUACCUAUAAGACUGGGAUAACUUCGGGAAACCGGAGCUAAUACCGGAUAAUAUUUCGAACCGCAUGGUUCGAUAGUGAAAGAUGGCUUUGCUAUCACUUAUAGAUGGACCUGCGCCGUAUUAGCUAGUUGGUAAGGUAACGGCUUACCAAGGCAACGAUACGUAGCCGACCUGAGAGGGUGAUCGGCCACAGUGUAACUGAGACACGGGCCAGACUCCUACGGGAGGCAGCAGUAGGGAAUCUUCCGCAAUGGGCGAAAGCCUUACUGAGCAACGCCGCGUGAGUGAUGAAGGUCUUCGGAUCGUAAAACUCUGUUAUUAGGGAAGAACAAACGUGUAAGUAACUGUGCACGUCUUGACGGUACCUAAUCAGAAAGCCACGGCUAACUACG